rnacentral:rRNA from 1 species
GGUAAGGCCCUUCGGGGUACACGAGCGGCGAACGGGUGAGUAACACGUGGGUGAUCUGCCUUGCACUUCGGGAUAAGCCUGGGAAACUGGGUCUAAUACCGGAUAUGACCUUCCAGUGCAUGCUCUUUGGUGGAAAGAUUUAUCGGUGCGAGAUGGGCCCGCGGCCUAUCAGCUUGUUGGUGAGGUAACGGCUCACCAAGGCGACGACGGGUAGCCGACCUGAGAGGGUGACCGGCCACACUGGGACUGAGACACGGCCCAGACUCCUACGGGAGGCAGCAGUGGGGAAUAUUGCACAAUGGGCGAAAGCCUGAUGCAGCGACGCCGCGUGCGGGAUGACGGCCUUCGGGUUGUAAACCGCUUUUGACAGGGACGAAGCGCGAGUGACUGUACCUGUAGAAUAAGGACCGGCCAACUACGUGCCAGCAGCCGCGGUAAUACGUAGGGUCCGAGCGUUGUCCGGAAUUACUGGGCGUAAAGAGCUUGUAGGCGGUUCGUCGCGUCGUUUGUGAAAACUUGGGGCUCAACCUUAAGCUUGCAGGCGAUACGGGCGGACUAGAGUACUUCAGGGGAGACUGGAAUUCCUGGUGUAGCGGUGAAAUGCGCAGAUAUCAGGAGGAACACCGGUGGCGAAGGCGGGUCUCUGGGAAGUAACUGACGCUGAGAAGCGAAAGCAUGGGUAGCAAACAGGAUUAGAUACCCUGGUAGUCCAUGCCGUAAACGGUGGGUACUAGGUGUGGGGCUCCUUCCACGGACUCCGUGCCGUAGCUAACGCAUUAAGUACCCCGCCUGGGGAGUACGGCCGCAAGGCUAAAACUCAAAGAAAUUGACGGGGGCCCGCACAAGCGGCGGAGCAUGUGGAUUAAUUCGAUGCAACGCGAAGAACCUUACCUGGGUUUGACAUACACCAGAAAGCGGCAGAGAUGUCGCCCCCCUUGUGGUUGGUGUACAGGUGGUGCAUGGCUGUCGUCAGCUCGUGUCGUGAGAUGUUGGGUUAAGUCCCGCAACGAGCGCAACCCUUAUCUUAUGUUGCCAGCGCGUAAUGGCGGGGACUCGUGAGAGACUGCCGGGGUCAACUCGGAGGAAGGUGGGGACGACGUCAAGUCAUCAUGCCCCUUAUGUCCAGGGCUUCACACAUGCUACAAUGGCCGGUACAGAGGGCUGCGAUACCGUGAGGUGGAGCGAAUCCCUUAAAGCCGGUCUCAGUUCGGAUCGGGGUCUGCAACUCGACCCCGUGAAGUUGGAGUCGCUAGUAAUCGCAGAUCAGCAACGCUGCGGUGAAUACGUUCCCGGGCCUUGUACACACCGCCCGUCACGUCAUGAAAGUCGGUAACACCCGAAGCCGGUGGCCUAACCCCUUGUGGGAGGGAGC